rnacentral:rRNA from 1 species
GGCAGCAGUGGGGAAUAUUGGACAAUGGGCGCAAGCCUGAUCCAGCAAUGCCGCGUGUGUGAAGAAGGCCUGCGGGUUGUAAAGCACUUUCAGUGGGGAGGAAGGUUUGAUGCUGAAUGAGCAUCAGAAUUGACGUUACCCAAAGAAGAAGCACCGGCUAACUCUGUGCCAGCAGCCGCGGUAAUACAGAGGGUGCGAGCGUUAAUCGGAAUUACUGGGCGUAAAGGGUGCGUAGGUGGUUUGCUAAGUCAGAUGUGAAAGCCCCGGGCUUAACCUGGGAACUGCAUUUGAAACUAGUAGACUUGAGUACGGUAGAGGGAAGUGGAAUUUCCGGUGUAGCGGUGAAAUGCGUAGAUAUCGGAAGGAACACCAGUGGCGAAGGCGACUUCCUGACCGCAACUGACACUGAGGCACGAAAGCGUGGGGAGCGAACAGGAUUAGAUACCCUGGUAGUCCACGCCGUAAACGAUGAGAACUAGAUGUUAGGGUGCUUGACACUUUAGUAUCGCAGCUAACGCGCUAAGUUCUCCGCCUGGGGAGUACGGCCGCAAGGUUAAAACUCAAAGGAAUUGACGG